AUACGGAGGGUGCAAGCGUUAUUCGGAUUUACUGGGCGUAAAGGGAGCGCAGGCUGCCAGAUAAGUCAGAUGUGAAAGCCCGGGGCUCAACACCGGAAGUGCAUUUGAAACUGUUUGGCUGGAGUAUGGUAGAGGGAAGUGGAAUUCCAGGUGUAGCGGUGAAAUGCGUAGAUAUCUGGAGGAACACCGGUGGCGAAGGCGGCUUCCUGGACCAAUACUGACGCUGAGGCUCGAAGGUGUGGGUAGCAAACAGGAUUAGAAACCCCAGUAGUCC
rnacentral:rRNA from 1 species